rnacentral:rRNA from 1 species
AAAUUGAAGAGUUUGAUCAUCGCUCAGAUUGAACGCUGGCGGCAGGCCUAACACAUGCAAGUCGAACGGUAACAGGAAGCAGCUUGCUGCUUCGCUGACGAGUGGCGGACGGGUGAGUAAUGUCUGGGAAACUGCCUGAUGGAGGGGGAUAACUACUGGAAACGGUGGCUAAUACCGCAUAACGUCGCAAGACCAAAGAGGGGGACCUUCGGGCCUCUUGCCAUCAGAUGUGCCCAGAUGGGAUUAGCU